CACGCACACCGUGUUGUCAAUCGCUCAUCACCAAGGUGCUAGCCCACCGACAUCUCAAUCUCCCCCUUGAUGAGUGCAUUGACAACACCACACCGCACAGAUUUAUUCGAACAUAAGAGAAAAAAAAAUCUUGAUCCCCAAAGACAUGGGCUAGCAAAAAUAGCUAGGCUCGACACAAUCAAGAAAAAAAAACUUUCUCCAAAGUGAAUCAAAAUUCAACAAAACUCCCCCUCAAAACAAGCAUGUCAAGUCUCAGCAAAAACGAAAUCAAACUCCCCCUGCAAAAUGAAUUUGUGCGCUACUCACUCUCCCCCUUGUUGACAAAGCACUCCAUCAAGAUAAAUGCAAAGAACCAAUUUAGAGAAAAACAUGUGAGAGAGCGCAAGUAGAAGCUUCCGAGACAUAUGCCAAAUACUUAUAAAAGCUAACUAGCAACACUAGCGACUCAGAGAGGAAGCAUCACAAUGCUAUGACCAUUAGAAUUGAGAACUUAAAUCUGUUUGAAAAAUCAAUUAGCCAGGCAAAAACAUGCAUAUUCCAAAAUCAGUGCCAGAGACAAAACAUAUAGCAAGCUCACAC
rnacentral:lncRNA from 1 species